rnacentral:rRNA from 1 species
UGCGUAGGCGGCGCGGUAAGUCGGGUGUGAAAUCUCGGAGCUUAACUCCGAAACUGCAUUCGAUACUGCCGUGCUUGAGGACUGGAGAGGAGACUGGAAUUUACGGUGUAGCGGUGAAAUGCGUAGAUAUCGUAAGGAAGACCAGUGGCGAAGGCGGGUCUCUGGACAGUUCCUGACGCUGAGGCACGAAAGCGUGGUAGCAAACA